rnacentral:rRNA from 1 species
UACGUAGGGUGCAAGCGUUAAUCGGAGUUACUGGGCGUAAAGCGUGCGCAGGCGGUUAUGCAAGACAGAUGUGAAAUCCCCGGGCUCAACCUGGGAACUGCAUUUGUGACUGCAUGGCUAGAGUACGGUAGAGGGGGAUGGAAUUCCGCGUGUAGCAGUGAAAUGCGUAGAUAUGCGGAGGAACACCGAUGGCGAAGGCAAUCCCCUGGACCUGUACUGACGCUCAUGCACGAAAGCGUGGGGAGCAAACAGG